rnacentral:sRNA from 1 species
CCAUCCUGAGGGGUUCACCAGGGAAUAGUCUCAUAAUGGAUUUAGAGUGAAGGAUGAUUGGCAUUGUUAGGCAGGCAAGCAGAGGGCUGAGCAGUCAAAUUAAGAACAGCAUUUCAGAACAAAAGAUUAGAGGGCAGAAAUGCUGUAUGUGCUGAUAGAGUCAGAGAGGGCCCGGAUCAAGAAACUGCAGGAAGAGAAAACUAGAAACCUAGAAUCAUCUAGAAAACUAGAACCUAGAAUCGUCUCAGAACACAGAGGAGGCUUGAGGACUGAGCAGACUGACAUAGAUGUACUUGGACAACACCUCACCAAGGAGCAUGUCUCUUCCCACUCACAAUCCCUAAUACGAGAUUCACAAUGGUUCACGCUGAGUCCGCAGGAAAAAUUGGCCUGGGGUACAUCAUCUAAAGAUCCUAGGAUUGCUGCAGGUCAGCAGUCUCCACUGGAAAAAAAGAUCUUGCAUGUAUUUCAAGUCCUUUGAUGAAUCAUGUGAUCUACUAGACCCUGAAGAUACAGUGAAGAGCAAAAGAACACGGAUGAAAUGAGAAACAAAAAUGAUGGAGAAAACCGAAAAAGGGGACACAUGGGAUCCAGGCAAUAGGAGAGCCAGCAUAAGAGAGAGGCAGAGGGAUGCCCAGGAUGAGGUGAAGACGAUCCUGGAAAUCAGCCCAGAUGUGCAUGCACCAGCCCACGUGUGGCAGGAC